rnacentral:rRNA from 1 species
AGAAUCAACGCUGGCGGCGUGCCUAACACAUGCAAGUCGAGCGCGAAAGGGGGGCAACCCCCAAGUAGAGCGGCGAACGGGUGAGUAACGCGUGGGUAAUCUACCUUCGGGUGGGGAACAACACCGGGAAACUGGUGCUAAUACCGCAUAAUAUCGUCGGGUCUUCGGGUCUGACGAUCAAAGCUGGGGACCGCAAGGCCUAGCGUCUGAAGAGGAGCCCGCGUCCGAUUAGCUAGUUGGCGGGGUAAUGGCCCACCAAGGCUUCGAUC